rnacentral:lncRNA from 1 species
AGCGCAAGCCCUAGCAGAAAAAGUUUUGAAACACAAUUUUGACUACGCCCAUGUGUUUCAACCAACAGAACAGAAAUGCAAAACAGAAUGUCAAAAAAAAACAUAAAAGCCAGAUGAAACGUCAUUCAGUCAGCAAAAACAUUUUUUUACAAACAGAUUAGUGUCUCUGUUUUUGAAACGUUCCGGUUAAAUCACGACUGCGAUGGCAUCGUGUGCGGUUCUCAAGAUCGGCUGCAACAGGUGGCGCCAAUGGUGACAAACCCAGCUCAACGAGGUCGAGGUUGGAUAGUUCCAAAUUGCGCGAGAAAAAAAAACAAAAUACCCAAUCUGACGAUCGUCGUUCGCCACGGAAGGUGAGGAUGUGGCGUUUGUGCGGUCCAGACCGGAACUAGCGGUGCAAAAUCGCUAGCUGAUAAUGCCCAGCUGCAGCCCCCAAACGACCCGGCGUGUUCGAGUAGCCCGUAUGACCGCGUACAUGACGUGGUUUAACGAAGCCUCGCCAAUCCAUCCAGUUUGAAGGGUUAUCACGAUCUGUACACGUGCACGUAGCUGUGCCGCUGGUCCCGGAGGUUGCCGAUUAUCUUGCCUUGCAAUACUGUCAUCACACCGCAGCACAGCCGAGGUCGUUUGCCUUAACACAAAUCUAUUUGCAAAAAUCCUAACUUGAUUUUCCCGCCUUGGAACGCAU